GAGUUUGAUCCUGGCUCAGAACGAACGCUGGCGGCGUGGAUAAGACAUGCAAGUCGAACGGGAUUUUAUUUGUAGCAAUACACGUAAAGUCUAGUGGCGUAAGGGUGCGUAACACGUGGGGAAUCUGCCGAGAAGUGGGGGAUAGCUCGUCGAAAGGCGAAUUAAUACCGCAUGUGGUUAGUGAAGACAUCUUCACGAUACCAAAGCCGGGGUAACCUGGCGCUUCUUGAUGACCCCGCGGCCUAUCAGCUAGUUGGUGAGGUAACGGCUCACCAAGGCUAUGACGGGUAGCUGGUCUGAGAGGACGACCAGCCACACUGGAACUGAGACACGGUCCAGACACCUACGGGUGGCAGCAGUCGAGAAUUUUUCUCAAUGGGGGAAACCCUGAAGGAGCGACGCCGCGUGGAGGAUGAAGGUCUUCGGAUUGUAAACUCCUGUCAUUUGGGAACAAGUUGCAUCGGUUAACUGCCGAUGCAUUGAUAGUACCAGAAGAGGAAGAGACGGCUAACUCUGUGCCAGCAGCCGCGGUAAUACAGAGGUCUCAAGCGUUGUUCGGAUUCAUUGGGCGUAAAGGGUGCGUAGGUGGCGGGGUAAGUCUGGUGUGAAAUCUCGGGGCUCAACCCCGAAACUGCACUGGAUACUGCCUUGCUCGAGUACUGGAGAGGAGAUUGGAAUUUACGGUGUAGCAGUGAAAUGCGUAGAUAUCGUAAGGAAGACCAGUGGCGAAGGCGAAUCUCUGGACAGUUACUGACACUGAGGCACGAAGGCCAGGGGAGCAAACGGGAUUAGAUACCCCGGUAGUCCUGGCAGUAAACGGUGCGCGUUUGGUGUGGGAGGAUUCGACCCCUUCUGUGCCGGAGCUAACGCGUUAAACGCGCCGCCUGGGGAGUACGGUCGCAAGAUUAAAACUCAAAGAAAUUGACGGGGGCCCGCACAAGCGGUGGAGU
rnacentral:rRNA from 1 species